rnacentral:rRNA from 1 species
UUGCGCGAGUCGUUGGGCUCGUUUUUCGAACCCAAAGGCUUAAUGAAAGUGAAGGAAGCUUGAACGCUUUCCUAGGGAGGAUGGCCGUGUCAGCCCGAACAGGCGGCGGCCCGCACUCCCGGGGCGUCUCUUUCUCAUUGCGAGUGGAGGCGCACCCAGAGCGUACACGUUAGGACCCGAAAGAUGGUGAACUAUGCCUGGUCAGGACGAAGCCAGGGGAAACCCUGGUGGAGGUCCGUAGCGAUUCUGACGUGCAAAUCGAUCGUCAGAGCUGGGUAUAGGGGCGAAAGACUAAUCGAACCAUCUAGUAGCUGGUUCCCUCCGAAGUUUCCCUCAGGAUAGCUGGUGCCCGCGGGUAACGAGUCUCAUCCGGUAAAGCGAAUGAUUAGAGGCAUUGGGGCCGAAACGACCUCAACCUAUUCUCAAACUUUAAAUAGAUGAGAACUCCGGCUUGCUUGAAAGUGAAGCCGGAGACUCGGAUCAGGGUGCCCAGUGGGCCAAUUUUGGUAAGCAGUGGGG